rnacentral:rRNA from 1 species
AUUGAACGCUGGCGGCAGGCUUAACACAUGCAAGUCGAACGAGUGGCGGACGGGUGAGUAAUGCCUGGGAAUCUGCCUGAUGGAGGGGGAUAACUACUGGAAACGGUAGCUAAUACCGCAUACCAUCAGAUGUGCCCAAGUGGGAUUAGCUAGUUGGUGGGGUAACGGCUCACCAAGGCGACGAUCCCUAGCUGGUCUGAGAGGAUGACCAGACACACUGGAACUGAGACACGGCCCAGACGCCUACGGGAGGCAGCAGUGGGGAAUAUUGCGCAAUGGGGGAAAGCCUGACGCAGCCAUGCCGCGUGUAUGAAGAAGGCCUUCGGGUUGUAAAGUACUUUCGGCAGGGAGGCGUUACCUGCAGAAGAAGCACCGGCUAACUCCGUGCCAGCAGCCGCGGUAAUUC